ensembl:lncRNA
UGCCUUUGCAAUGAACUUUCCAGGUGAAUGCAAGUUCAGGAGAGAGCAGAGUACUCCGGUGCAUUAUGCUCAGUUUGCUAUAGUGCAGCACAAGCAUUACCUACAGCCUAAAAACUGGUGUCAGCAGAGUAUGAAUGAUGCCAAGGACAGGCACUAAAGCAAAUAAUGCUGUGAGGGGAAGCAGCACAACUGGAGAUGUGUUCUUUCCAUGCCGUUUAAAGAUGGAACCAGGUAUAUGGGAGAACACAAGUCUACACAGAGCCUUGCUACCAUAAAUAGAUGUAUAGGUUUCAAACUGGACCUUGGCUUUUGCUAGAUACGUUGCUAGUAUUGUUGGCACACUCAUUCAUGUGGCUCCUGUGCUGCUGCACAGGAGGGGCACACACAGCUUCUGUCCUGUGUGCUUGCAUGGGCCUCUGUGUGAACUUUGUUUCAAAAUACUUUAGGAGUGCCCUAACUGUAAGCUCUUGUUUUGUCCUAGCAAUCCUGUGCCUGGCUAAUGGAUGUUGUGUAGUAUCAGUAGAUAAGGGGUAAUUUUAGCUUUGUAAGUCACUUUCCAAGUUGGAAAUAGGCUAUGAAAAGCCUGUGUGUAAUAAGACAUCUGGGACUUACUCAUCUGGGGUCUCGCAUGGGCUCAUUUGAUGCUGUGGUUUCUUUCCAGAGGGAUAAAGCAGAAGUUGUCACUGUUAAUUGAAUGCAGAGUCCCAGCACCCUCUUCUAGAUGUAUAAGCUGCCAUGUACUGAAGGAGGCAAAAAUCAGAGCUGUAACAUUCAAAUCUAGAGGCAUAUGCCAUACUACAUGUACGUUGCUAACGGCAGCUGCAUCCUGCAGGUAAUGCUGUACUCAUCAGCAUAAUUAGUGAUGUGGCUUUGUGCAUCUCCAACAGAUGACGUGGCUAUGCAUGAUUUAUGCAGCAUGGAGACAGCUUUGUACACUGCUGGGAUGUGACGUUGGUGGCUCUUUAUGUGCCUCAGUAGCACAAGGUGCAUCAGGGAUACUUUUGGUGAGACCGCUGCUUGCCCUGAGCACAUCCAGAGCUGUGUGACAGCAGGGAGAUCUUAUCACAGCCUGCAUAGCAGCCCUGCCAGCAAAAGCUUCUGGGAGGGAUCACAGGGCAAUGGUGCAGUGUGUCACAUGAAGGUAAUCUGCUGUGGUAAUCAGUUGGAUCAGGCAUUUCCUCAAGAGCUGGAGGUUGUCACUGCAGCUCUGUCACUUCCGCGUUUGACCUUGGGCAUGUCACCGUGCUUGGAAAGAGGAGAUAAUCAUUCUUUGUGAAAUGAAGAGCCUUGGGACUCUCAUAGUUGUUGUUUUAAUCUGCUACGGGUUCCCAGCCUUCACCAGUGGAUGGGCACCCAACACUCCUGACCUCCUUGGCGGGUGGAGUUCCCAAAGGUGCCAAGAGGAGAAGAAAGGACACAGCCAGAUGCUGAAAAUCCCAAACUUGUCUUCUCCACUCCUUUAUACUGCUGGAAAUCUGAGGGUUGACCCGGGAUCAUGGCUUUGUUUAUUUGCUGAGAUUGAGAGGCUGACUUUGUUGUAUUGAUUGCAGAGCCUCCCCCUCAUUCAUGGAUGCACUCCGCUCUCAGAUUUUAGAUGGGCUGAUGAGGAAAUGUCUGGUUAUCCAUUUCUUUGUCAGAGUCAGAAACCCGUUCCAAACAGCAUUAGCUGACACAGGCAGACUGCUAGCUAGACAAACACUGGUCUGUGUGUUGCGUUCCAGUAAAUACCUGCAUUUGAUUCCAAAGGGCUCCAUUGAUUAAAACCAGCUCUCCCCGCAGACCCGGGGAACAAUCGUCACAAUAGGACACUGAGCCAUUAAACACUGCCACACAAAAAUGCUGCUGGAUCCUUUCAUGUUGUUGCUGUUCUUAUUAUUGUUGAGAUCUGGAAAAUUACCCGUCAAUCACUCCUUAAGCUGCUCAUGGAAGUUUUGCUGAAUGCGGGGUCUGAGUUUGCUGCUGAAUUUGUUAAUAUGUGCUCCUGAAAAAGAAAUAAAGCCAGAGGAAGCUUAUUGUAUUUCCA